AAGGUGAGAAAGGAGGACAAGUUGGCUUUACCAGAUGUGACGUCACAUUAUUGUUUGUUUUUGUUUUUAUGAAAUAACUACUCUCGAACUCAGACGGCAUGGCUCGCGUCUCGUUCGCGCGCGUACGUAUGGAUGUUGUCUGCGGUUUGUUUUUGGCGAAUGCUUAGGAGCUUCAAGUUGCAGACACUGCCGUGGGCCAGGGCUUGAUGACAUUUGUUGCCCAGCUGCUGGUGCUACCGCGACGUACUUGGAGCAACGCUUCUGCUUAUUUCCUUUGCCUGCACCUUAUAUUUGUUGUGUUUAUUGAGACCUGGCCUGUCUCUGCCUCGUUGAAGACAAAUGGACACAAGUACUGGUUGCUGUUGGUUUGCUCAGUCUGAGCGUGUGGGAUAACCGAAAGUGGACAUGGAGGAGCCCGAAUGGCGAGACACUGAAAUGAAAUAGACCUCAUACCCUGCGCUAACCCUGGCAUCAUACAAGAUGUGGACGUGCUCGACAAGGUGCGCUGCAGUGACCAUAGGAUGAUAAGGGAGGCAGCUUUUGCAUCUGCAACAGAACAUCGGUGGAUGUGGUUACCUGAGCAAGGUAACUUUCUUGGUGCUUCAUCAUGCAAUUUAUACAGUCAACUUCCAUUAAUUCUACCCUCACGAGACUGACGGGUCGAAUAAAAACGCAAAAACUUGCUGAAGCACCGUUGAUUCAUUUGGCAAUAUGUGCUUGAGUAACACGCCUCUGAAACGAACGUGCAUCAUAUUUCUAUUUGUCCACAGUAUAAAACUAAAGUAGAAAUGACUUAACUCCAAACCAAAGUAGAAACCUACGCGUACCUGAUUUUUUAGAAUGGCAGCUGAUUUUCUAAAGCCAGCUUCGCCGUAUUACAGCCAUGAUAUGCGGUAAUGCGUAUGAAUGCUACAACCACGGUUUUAGUUUCGCAAUCGAUUGCACAGCUAGGCAAUUUUUGUCUCAAUGUCCUUCGAAAACAAAAAAGUGUUCGUUAGAAUCAGAUAAGUACCACAAUCGGACAUUGUCAGCUACCGUUACUGCUUGAAAAUCUUUCUCGGGUGGGUCAAAAAUAGGCAUUUCAGAGAGGAGAUGGCAUUUGUUUAACGCAUUCACUGUCCCCUAAGCUCUACUGAGACAUACGCUGCCACUAAAAGGGGUCAUUAUUGGGGUCUGGUCAAGUUCGCAUUAUCCGGCGAAUGCCAGUUUUAGGAUCGAAAUAAUGAAUGUUUAAUCCCAUAGAAAUGCAUGGGUGUCGCCCAGGAUUGAAUUAACUGAAAAAAUUAAAUUAACCGGAGUCAGAUUAUUGGAAGUUUACUAUACACCCUUUUCUGUUCUCCAAGAAGUUGCCAUUUUAAUAUGUAGUUUUCUUCUAUCAGUGUGGCAAUGGUGCUAAAUUUAGCAUUUGUUUGAAUCAUCCAUUGUUCCAAGGACAAGCUACAAAAUAGGGGCACACUUUGAGACUUGAAACAUUUCCACAUAUAAAGGCAGGGCAUGUUAACAUCUGUACAAUUACCAUAAGUUGGCUGUAUUGUCUGCAUAGCAUGUGGCUGCUUUUUUGGAAUGUGGUCUUUCUGUAAAAUAAAGUUGCAUUUCUUUCAAAUAAAUUGCUGAACUAUUG